GAAAAUUCGAUGCAUGAGCCCCUUUUUGCGAAAAUCUAACCCUAAUUAGUGAAGUGGCAUAAAGGAAGAAGGUACAAGCACCAAGAAAACGGAAGGAGCGCAAGAUCGAGGUAAAACUCCACUAUAGGCGAUUUGGGAUAUGGAGCGAGCACAUGUUCAAGCCCUAUUAUACCAAGCGCUUCCGCAAGUUUAUAUGCAUGCUUUUGGGUCCAUGUUUUGUUACUUUGAUAAACCUUGUUAAAAGUUUUAGGUUUGAAAACUUGUUGUUUUUGUUUGGGA